UGUUGUAUCUCAUCCCUUUUGCGUCCUCUCAGGUGCUUAAUAUCCCGAAUGAGAUUAACAAGGGCAGUGUAGAGUAAUCAUCAACACCCUGUUGAGCUGAUUAAGAGGGGGGACAAGGUGGGCUCUUCUGAGGCCGCCAUCCUUGCCAAGCUUGGGACAAGGCCCCUUGCUAUUUCGUCGGUGCAUGAUAAAGGGUCAGGCUUUUUUCAGUCCUGAAGUUCUGGAGAAUGACCCGAUUGAGAAGCUUGCAGCUGGUGCUUCAAUGGUUGCUUGCAUUGCCUUUGGCCCUCUCUCACCCAACUCUAGCAGCAGCACCCCAUAUGUUCAUCAAUGCUUACAAGAACAUCCUGGCAGUUGCAAUUGCCACUAUGUAUACUUUGCCCCAGGCAGAGAAAGUUAACCGAGUACUUGUAAGACAGUCUUCUGUUGGCUUGAUGCACGUUCGAGCACGUUGCGGAUUCGUGGGUCCAAAAAAAUCCGAUUUCCAGUUGUCAAGACUAUGGAUGUGGUAUCAUUACUAAAGACUCUGUGGUGCCGCUCUGAAGGCUUUGAAUCUGGAGACUGGUAUUAUAUCUUUCAUUCGGUUGUAGUUAGUGAGUUAUCUGCCUCCAUUUCUUAUAAUCUUCAUACCUGGCAAACAUUUUGCUUCGCUGAAGUGUGUCCACGCACAAAUUUUGCAAGAUCAUUGGCCUUUCUGAGAGUUGCGACAUGAGCAAAAUGAGGAGUACAAAUGCAUGUCGGAUCCUUAAUAAGAGUAUUGUAAAUCAAACAAGAGCUUACCUUUCAACCAUAGUGCUUUGGCAGAAUCUUGGUGAUGAAAAGCCACCUGCAGGCAAUAUUUGAAGAGCAACUACUACAUAUCUUGAGAUUAAAACUUGAAAAAAGAAGCCACAUUCAUCUUUAGCUCAGAUCAUCACUACACCAGGCAGGUUUGAAAAAAUCGAAUUCCCUGUAUCAAUUGAAAGCUAGUCAGGAAUUAGUUAAGAGACCAGCAUCUCUAUGGGAAACUGUUUCAUUAGUAAGAGGCAAUCAUAUCUGCACCUUAAAAGCAAAUGUGACGUCUGAACUAUCAAUUUGUAAUGUCACUCUCUUCAAUUUAUCU